UAGGGAAUCUUCCACAAUGGGCGCAAGCCUGAUGGAGCAACGCCGCGUGUGUGAUGAAGGCUUUCGGGUCGUAAGCACUGUUGUAUGGGAAGAAAUGCUAGAAUAGGGAAUGAUUCUAGUUCGACGGUACCAUACCAGAAAGGGACGGCUAAAUACUUGCCAC
rnacentral:rRNA from 1 species